rnacentral:rRNA from 1 species
AACGCUGGCGGCGUGCCUAAUACAUGCAAGUCGAACGAGUUCUCGUUGAUGAUCGGUGCUUGCACCGAGAUUCAACAUGGAACGAGUGGCGGACGGGUGAGUAACACGUGGGUAACCUGCCCUUAAGUGGGGGAUAACAUUUGGAAACAGAUGCUAAUACCGCAUAGAUCCAAGAACCGCAUGGUUCUUGGCUGAAAGAUGGCGUAAGCUAUCGCUUUUGGAUGGACCCGCGGCGUAUUAGCUAGUUGGUGAGGUAAUGGCUCACCAAGGCGAUGAUACGUAGCCGAACUGAGAGGUUGAUCGGCCACAUUGGGACUGAGACACGGCCCAAACUCCUACGGGAGGCAGCAGUAGGGAAUCUUCCACAAUGGACGCAAGUCUGAUGGAGCAACGCCGCGUGAGUGAAGAAGGCUUUCGGGUCGUAAAACUCUGUUGUUGGAGAAGAAUGGUCGGCAGAGUAACUGUUGUCGGCGUGACGGUAUCCAACCAGAAAGCCACGGCUAACUACGUGCCAGCAGCCGCGGUAAUACGUAGGUGGCAAGCGUUAUCCGGAUUUAUUGGGCGUAAAGCGAGCGCAGGCGGUUUUUUAAGUCUGAUGUGAAAGCCCUCGGCUUAACCGAGGAAGCGCAUCGGAAACUGGGAAACUUGAGUGCAGAAGAGGACAGUGGAACUCCAUGUGUAGCGGUGAAAUGCGUAGAUAUAUGGAAGAACACCAGUGGCGAAGGCGGCUGUCUGGUCUGUAACUGACGCUGAGGCU